UUUUGUUUAAAAUAAAUGAUAUUCAUUCAUUAUCACAAUGUUAAUAUUCAUCAUUAUAAUUAAACAUUAUGUGGCAACUCCGCCAACAGAGUACUUUCUUCUUGGGGCAAAAAAAAAUGACUUUACCAAACCAAAAAAUGAAAGAAGAAAGAGCCCUAGCUCUCUAAUUUACUGUUACCAUUUCCAGUUGCAUCAACAACACCAUAAGCCAAAUACAACGAGAUAAGGACUUCACCAACAACACCAUAAGGAAAAUACAACGAGAAGCUUCCAUCUUCCUUCUAGGAACCAAGCAAGGUAUAAUCAAUUUUUUUCAAAUGAUGUUUUGCAAAAAAAUAAAAGGAUUUGAGUCUGUCAGAACACCGUGUGACCACCCCAGUUGGUAGGCACCAACUGAGAACGAUCAUCUACAGCUUGGAUGAUGACCACAACAUGCAGAUCAUCUGGGCCGUUAAUCACGCUCUGAUCACACGGUCAUGAUUCAUCCACCAGACUUAUGUUCCUGUCUCCUUAGAAAUCAAGGACACAGUAGUACGAGCCUAUAGAACAGAUCCUGUUCAAGUAAGGACAAAAGCAUGCUGCUGAAACUUGUGUUCAAUACAGCUUCUCUGUUGCAAGAAGAAGCACAUGUUGGUUUUUGGGCUUGCCGGCGGCCGGUAUGGUGGAAAUUUGGCUCUCCGCCAUCCUAGAAGUGAGAACACAAGAUUGAGAACUUUUUUAUGAUGGCCUUUGAAAAUCCUUUCCUGUGAUUGGAUAAAACGUUUGAAAUCUUGAAAUGUUCAGCAGUCGCUCAGUUUGUAUACUCCUAUGUGCUUAACCAUUCUUGCAGGGUGUAUGUAUUUUUCUUUGAAAAGGUUAAAUGGAUCACCUUGUUGUUCAAUAAAGAGUACAGUUUGUUUUAUCUUUCAUUGGAAUUUGGUAUUUUUGUUUAUAAUGCUUGCAUAAUCUGCUGACCUGCGUUUGUACAAUAAGGUAAAGUCUCUCUCUUGCGAGGUGAGUUCUUAAUCAUGUGCUAUAUAUGUGUGCUCCUCUUCUCUUGUGAGACUUCAAGAUAUAAAAGGGUUCCCCAUGAUUGGCAUUUAGAAUUCUACUUAUUCUAGUUUCCAACUCGGAGGACAUUUUAGUUAUACCAACACUCGGAGGACAUUUUAGCGAAAUACUUUACAAUUGAACUACAAAACAAUUCCUUAUGUACAUUAUGUCAGAAUCUCAACGAGUCCUUCGUAAUUCACAAAUGGAGUAGUGGAUUUGGAUCUGAUGGUGAAUUCCGUCAUGCCAAUAUUGUCUGGUUGCUCUAGCUCAGUAUAGGGGUGAUAGUUGCAAACACUCUGAUGCCCAAGUUAAUAAGAGUCGAAUGUAAAGGUGUGUGGCAAUUUUGAGUUAGAAAUUGUGUACCUUACUUAAUGUGAUGCCUUUAUUGACCUUUUAUUAUGGGGUUCUAGGGUUUCUAGACCUAGAACUUCUUGUCUCCUCAUGCUCAAUUAUGUUGAAAUUUGUGGUGGUAAGAUUAGCCAAUCGUCUAUAUCAAAUAACAUCAGAGAACCACAUUUAUUCUAGAGCAAUCAAAUUAGCGACCUUCUUAUCAUUUUUUAUUUAUUUAUUUUGUGAAUUAUGUCUUAAAUGAAUAUCUAAGAGAUGGAAGAGGUUAUGAGUUGUGGGAAGUAGAAUCUGGAGGACCAAAGUUUACCGUUCACAUAUGUAUUACUUUCAGCGAGCCGAAGAAUGGGAGGAAGAAUAAAGACCUAGAGAUGAAAAUUUUAAAAACUAUAGCAGGGAAAACUUAGUUUGAAGUGGAGGUUCCUGUUAUGGAUACUAAUAGUAGUGAGAGAACAAUUACAUAGGUCUCAGAUUAUCAUUUGAUCGUGAUAAAUAGAGGAAGCAGAUUAUACCAUCUCAAAGAUACGAUUAUGUUGUCUUUGAUAGAUAUGCUUUAAAUGUGGCUGAAAGGUUGCAACACUCAAAUAUAGAGAUCAUCAUGGAUGCAUUUGAAAGCAGUAGAGUCAAAUAUGGUUAAAGAAUCAUAUGUGCGGGUUUAUUAUACUACAUGAGCAGGAAAAAGUAGUUGAAAGCAAGUGGAUCCAAGUGGAAAGAUCAACGUUCAAGUGUGGCUUGAACUUUAUCAAGGUUGUCGAAUAAUGCUUUUAAUAUGAUAGAGAGCAACAAGGUGGUUUAUAGGUUAAUUGACAUCACCAUAGUUUAAAGUCAAAGUGAAUAAUUGUAAAAGUUGUAGAAACCAAAGUUGAAGAAAGACGAAAAGCACCAUCAAGACCAACGAAUGACGUAGAAUUCACGGAGUGGCGAUUCGACAAGACAGUGGUAGUCGUGUUGAGUUUGUUGUGGUAAAGGGAGGCGCCAUAACCACGGUGGCGGCGGAAAAAACCACGACCGGUGAUGGAGCUGCAAUGGCAGAACCAAUGGUUCAUAGUGCGACGGUGACGACCAAUAAAGGGGCAGAGCUUCAGUGGCCGACCUGCGAUAGGAGGCGGUAGUUUGGUCCGCCGAUCGGAAUUUUUAGGAUAGCAAGUCUAGUUUGGGUGGUUCAUAGUCAUCAAUUCAUGGAUUCUUUUGUUUAAUGAGACGUGUUUUA